UUCAGUGCUGGAGAUCAAACAGGCGUGAUGUGGUUGGAGGAGGAAAGGGAAAAGAAGAAGGCAGGGAACGGAGAGGGAGAACAGGAAGACAAAGGGACAAAAACAAGGGAGGUAGGGAGGAAAUAAGAAGUGAAGGUAGAAGGCAAAGGGAAAAUGAACAAAAAGAAGAUAUUCCCUGAAGGCACUGCCACCCAUUCCAAAUCCCUCGUCUAAUAACAGCCUGUCAGGGGUAUACUGUGCAAGUAGAGCAGCACCUGUUUUCUGGCUUGGAAUCAGAGGAGGCGGUGAUUCACAGGUGGUGCUGCAGCCGUGCUGUCAGACCAGUGGGGCGGGGAACCCUCGUCUGUCCCGUCUCCAAGGAAACCCUUGCAUAGGUGUCUGUCUGUUGUCAGGGUAACAGGGCAAAGGGGGAACGCUGGAGAGGAAAAUACCGAUGGAGACGAGGGGGCCGGAGGAGGGCUGAUGUGGAGACGACAAAGACAAGGCGGGGCCGCAGACGCUCGGUCAGCUGAGACCUUUCCACCGUGGUUAAAAAUGCAUGGUCGGACUGAAUAUGAAGGAGCAGCUGUGUGGCAGAGCAUGUAUGGAUAUGAUAAUGGUUCCAAAAACAGGUUUUAAUGCUGCUAUUGCAUUCUAGUUUAACAAAGAUUGCAUCAUUCACUGGAGACACAGUUCUUAGAAAAAUGUACGAUUCCUCCCAAAUAUAUUUCAAUAGAUUUCUUGCACUGUGCUCCUUUAUCUUGUUCCUCGUUACCCACCCCCGUCCCUAGCCCUGUGUAAAACAACUUCAGCAGCAGCAGUAAGAGAAUGAGCCUUCGCUGGCCUAGUUUCACAGAGCUGAAGGGGGAAAGUGAGGGCAAAAGGAAGAGAGAUUAUUUUUCUGUUAAUGUGUUCUCCUGUGAGAAAUAUCUACUGUAGUUCUCUAUCUUCCACCAAUCACACCAACUCCACUCUGUUCCUUCACUGCCAAGUUUGUCACAGCCAAUGAAUGACCUUUAAAUGAUAUUUCAUUCUAAUUAUAUUAUAUAACUACAGUUUAUCAUAUAAGCCCAUAUAUAGUGGUGUACAUUGCUAGAUGCCACUAUAGGUUAAGACAGCAGUGGUAGUGCAGAUCACAACUUCAGCCUCCUCUUCCAAGCACAAAAAACGCAAACGGUCCUGUCUAGAGCCAGUGUUUGCCUACACAGGUUUUCAAUGUCAAUGCAACUGUAUUAUCUCUGAAUCUGAACACAGUGUAGAAACAGAGUAGAGUUAUGGUAGUUUGAGUUUCUUGAAGUGAGGCCAUAGUUCGGACCGUUUCUUCCUAUGCUCUUUCUUGUUCGUAGAAACUUGACAUAAUUGUUUUGCAAUGUGCAACUGUCAGAAAAACAUGCCAGCAUCGAUAAAAGGAACUGGUAUACUCGGAGGCAUGUGAUUCUGAUGGAUCAGACAGUUUGGAGCCGGUUCUCAACCAGAACCAGUCCUUGAUUCCCUUCCCUAGUGCAGAUUACAAAGAAGUCCACAUUUCUGAUCAAAUUUGACGUUUUGGUUCUGAUUGUUAAGUGGGGCCCCUGUGACCUGUGUAUAAGGAACCUUUGUUGCAUAUUAUUCCUUUCACUCUGUCUGUUACCCAUGUUUCCUGUAUAUCUCAGGCAAUACAAUACAGGCUAAAAUGCCUAAAAGGAGUAGAUAUAGAGGAGUCCCUAAUGUAGCUUCAAGUGUGUUGUUACAGAAUAAAAAGGAGGUUCCAGUGUACAGGGAUUUAGUCUGAUUUAUUCUACCAAAGCCAUAUAGGACACUUUAAUGAAUAGCUGUACUCUGAACUGUGAGUGCAUGAUUUAAUCACCAUAAGUCAUUCACUGGUGAGCCCCAGUGGUAAACAGUUUAAAUAAGCUUUUCUUACAAAUGUUCUCAUUCCUAUAUUUCUAAUAGGAGUGCUCGGGGCAUUCCUUUGCUUGUUGUUGGCACUGAUGAUAGAUGGUGGGGUUGGUGGAGAAGCAGUCUGAACAAGUAACAAAACAAACUGAUGUACAGAGAAGCACUUACAGAAUGCAGACACAGAGAGUGGAUACUGCUUAAAAAUGCUGCUCAUAAACAGUAUCAACAGUGUGGUUUGAAAUGUAUAUUGUAAAUCUCAAGACUGAGCAUUUUUGAACUUUGCCGCUAUCUGCUGGUAUUAUUUAAAAUGCACAUCACUAUAUAGGCUAAUUUCUACCAUUACAUAACCUAAUAUAAUAUGACACAUCAUCUACACAUAGUGACUUAGAUGAUUAAUGGGCUGUGAUGAAGCUGACAGUACAGUGGGGUUGGUUCUGUGUCCAAUAGUGCUGUGAUACAAUGAAAAUCUUAAAACCACAGUAAGCCAGUUAGGGGCAACAAGCCGUAAAGACAACACUGACAUAGAUCCACGUUAUAAAGUUGAUAUGGUUACAACAUCCAGCAGACACAGAGCAAUAUUAUUAUUCAUUCUGCUUGUGUCCACCUGAGGAAUGUAAGCACAGAGGCUGGAAGUAGGGGUGCUAAGAAGGCAGCAGCACCCCCUAAAAUCUGUCACAAUUAGAACCAUUCAUUCAUAAAAAUGUUCAAAUUUAUAGUUCUCUUUUAGUGGAACAUGUGUACACUGGUAUUAUGGCAGGAAAGAAAUAUUUAAGUUAUAAAAUGUAUGUUGUUAACUAUUAAAUAGGCAAUAAAGUAUACUGGCAAUUCA